CUCAGUUGAGGGAAACUGAAACUUAAGCUGUUCUUGAGCUGUUGUAUGUUUUUUCUCUAUUGGUGUGUAGGCUACAUGCAGUGAAAUGGCAGAAGCCAGUUUUUCAGAGGACCAGUUCAUCUGUCCCAUAUGUCUGGAUCUACUGAAGGAUCCAGUGGCCAUUCCCUGUGGACACAGUUACUGUAUGAACUGUAUUACAGAUUGCUGGAAUCAGGCUGAUCUGAAGGAUGUCUACAGCUGCCCUCAGUGCAGACAGACCUUCACUCCUAGACCUGCUUUAAAUAAAAACACCAUGCUGGCUGAAGUGGUGGAGAAACUGAAGAAGACUAAACUCCAAGCUGCUGUUCCUGCUCACUGUUACGCUGGACCUGGAGAUGUGGAGUGUGACGUCUGUACUGGACGAAAACACAAAGCUGUCAAGUCUUGUCUGGUGUGUCUGGAAUCUUACUGUCAAAAUCAUUUUGAGCGUCACGAGGAAUUUCGCUCAGAUAAACCACACAAAGUGACUGAUGCAACUGGACGACUUCAGGAGAUGAUCUGCCGUCAACAUGAGAAGCUUCUGGAGGUUUUCUGUCGUACUGACCAGCACUGCAUUUGUAUGAUGUGUACGAUGGAUGAACAUAAAAACCAUGACACUGUUUCCACAGCAGCAGAGAGGAUAGAGAAAGAGAGUGACUUGAAGGAGACACAGAGAGAAAUCCAGCAGAGAAUCCAGCAGAGAGAGAAAGAUGUUGAGGAGCUGAGAGAGGCUGUGAAGUCUCAUAAGCGCUCUGCUCAGACAGCAGUGAAGGACAGUGAGAGGAUCUUUACUGAGCUGAUGCGCUCCAUUGAGAGAAGCCGCUCUGAGGUAACACAGCUGAUCAAAGAUCAAGAAAAAGCUGCAGUGAGUCGAGCAGAAGGACUCUUGGAGCAACUGAAGCAGGAGAUUGCUGAUCUGAGGAGGAGAGAUGCUGAGCUUGAGCAGCUUUCACACACAGAUGAUCACAUCUUUUUCCUACAGAAUUUUCAGUCACUCUCUGCACCUCCUGAAUCUUCAGACAAUAUCACUGCCAGUUUCCUUUGCUCAUUUGAUGGCAUGAGAGAAUCUGUGUGUCAGCUGAGAGUCCAACUGGAGGAUUUCUGCCAGAAGGAGAUAAAAAAGAUAUCUGUCACACACAUCCACAUUGUUCCCAAGACCAGAGAGGAGUUUCUACUGUGUGGAGGCCUGAAAUGAAAUCCUAAAAAUCUUCAAUUCUGUUUUGAUGAAGAAAGAAACUCAGAUACAUCUUGGAUGGCCUGAGGUUUAGGUCCGGUCCUGGGAAGGGUAAGCUCCGGCAGGAUUUGACUCUUCAAGCAAGUAUCUAAGCGCUAAACCGUAGGAUGGGGCUUACACCAACUGAUAUAAGUAUCUUUACAUUCAUAUUAAUUCAAAAAAUCUUGAGUCUUUUCUGACAGAACUAUUCCCCCUAUAUCUACACAGUAUUAGAUUCAGAUACAUAUUGAAGAAGCUUUAGUUUGGUAAAACAGUAACAUUAUAUAUACACAUGUAUAAACACGAUUUAUACAAAACAUCUACAACCCCAAUUCUGAAAAAGUUAGGCCAGUAUGGAAAUUCUAAUGAAACAAAAAGUAGUGAUUUGUCAAUUCUAUUCACCCUGUUUUAUAUUGAAAGCACUGUAUUUGAUGUUUUACCUUGUGAAUUUAAUUAUAUAUUUUUAAUGUACACAUUUAAAAUGAUUGCGAGAUGAUGAUUGCAAAAUUCUCCAGAAAAGUUGAGACAGUCAAGUGUUUACCAAUGUGCAACAUCACCAUUUCUUCUAAAAACAUUUUUUAAAUGUGUAGGCAUUGAAGACACAAGUUUGUUAAGUUUAGCAAGUGGAAUUUUCCUCCAUUCAUCCAUUUUGCAGGUCGCCAGCUGUGAAAUUGUACAGUGCCUUCGUUGCUCUGGUGGAAACUCCAUGUCCCACAAAUAUCAUGGAACCGAAGGCCUGCUUAGGUUUGUUAAAUUACUGUAAGAAGUUUUUAUCCAACUUGUCUUGCCUUAUAGCUCCCCUGCACAAGCUCUUGGGAAAAGACACUAAAUGGUUGUGGGGAAAAGCUCAAGUGGAUGCCUUGUAGAAAUCCUAGAUCUGACACAGGUACCUCAUGAUCUGGACUCGAACCUGAUGGUUAUCUCUUACUCAGACUCUAUCUGAGAGAUUGAAUGCAUCCUGUCUUGGAGUCAAUCUGUGAAAAUAAACCCAUACCACAAAUGGGUUCACCUCAAGUUCAAAGAUGGGCCCUACUGAUGAGUGCCUAUGUGUAUACCAUUGUGUACAAAUCAAAAGAGAAUCAUACAAAUGUGGCUGCAUUAAGCAGACUGCCCAUUCCUUAAGUGAUGCAGGAGGAAAGUACUGUAAAUAAGAUCAAGUCUUGGUGUUGGAGUUUGAGUAUGUCAGUGCCGCCCAAAUUAAGAGCUGUACAGCUAAGAAUGUAAUACUGCCUCAAGUAUGUGAGUUUGUGUUGAAGGGAUGGCCUACAGCUGUUGACCCUCAGCUCAGGCCUUACCACAGAAGAAAACUGGGACUGAGUGUGCACGAUGGGUGUGUGCUCUAGGGAGCCAGAGUGAUGGUGCCAAAUUCCACUCAGGAAUGUGUAAGAUGAAAGGACUGACUCGCUCAUAUUUUUGGUGGCCUGGUAUGGACAACCCUGCAAAAAAUGGGUACUGGUGACCCUACCAGGCUUUUUAAUUAGCUAAACCAGCUUCACCUGAAAGACCAUGCUGGUCAACCAACUUCACCAGCUGGGUUUUGCUGGUGAAAAGCAUAGCUAUGCUGGUCCACCACCUAGACCAGCACCAAACCAGAACUAACCAGCAUUAACCAGCUUAGACUUGCAUGUAAAUUGCAUACUGGUUAAGCCAGAUUUUGGAGGAGGGAAGGAAGUUAAAAAGGAGUCGGAACUCUGUGAGGAAUGUGAGAAUCACAGUAAAAUGCCUCCUGUGGCACCCUUAAAUCCAUGGGAAUGGCCAGAGUCACUGUGGUCCUAAAAUCAUGUGAAUUAUGUGGAUGUUUAGGAAGGGGGCACGUGUCAAAUUGACUUCCACAUGAAUGGCCGGAUCUAGGGUUUCCCAGCAGAACAUUGCCCAGAGCAUCACACUCCCUCCACCGGCUUGUCAUCUUCCCACAAUGCAUCCUGGUGCCAUCACUUCCCUAAAUGGCACACCCAUACAUGGCAGUCCACAUGAUGUAAAAGAAAACAGGACUCAUCGGACAAGGCAACCUUCUUCCACUGCUCCAAGGUCCAGUUCCGAUGCUUGCACGCCCAUUGUAGGCACUUUCAACAGUGGUUCACCUUCAGGCCUUCAUCCCUCCUCAAUUUAAUUCGGAUGAGGAACAGUCAUUGCAUUUGUUAUGCCCUGUGCGGGCAUUACAUGCAUACGUUAAGCGUACUUGCCAUUUAAGACUGUCUGAUCAGCUCUUUAUAUGCUAUGGAGGAUGCACAAAAGGAAUGUCCAUCUCCAAGCAAAGGCUCUCUAACUAGAUUGUCGAUGCAAUUACCCUGGCUUAUGAGUCGCAGGAUAAGACUUGCCCAAUUGGUGUUAAAGCACACUCAACUAGAGGCAUGGCCUCCUCAUGUGCAUGGACAAAUGGUGUGUCCUUACAAGAUAUAUGUUUUGCAGCAGGAUGGUCCUCUCAAAACACAUUUGCAAGUUUUUACAACCUAGACGUAAUGUCUCUUUCUUCACAAGUCCUCUCUGUUUAGAGCACUUGCUAUUCAUUGGCCAAAUAUAUAUAGUUGUGCUCAAAAGUUUGCAUACCCUGGCAGAAAUUGUGAAAUUUUGGCAUUGGUUUUGAAAAUAUGACUGUUCAUGCAGAAAAACUGUCUUUUAUUUAAGGAUAGUGAUAUAUGAAGCCAUUUAUUAUCACAUAGUUGUCUGGCUCCUUUUUAAAUCAUAAUGAUAACAGAAAUCACCCAAAUGGCCCUGAUCAAAAGUUUACAUACCCUUGAAUGUUUGGUCUUGUUACAGACACACAAGGUGACACACACAAGUUUAAAUGGCAAUUAAAGGUUAAUUUCCCACACCUGUGGCUUUUAAAUUGCAAUUAGUGUCUGUGUAUAAAUAGUCAAUGAGUUUGUUAGCUCUCACGUGGAUGUACUGAGCAGGCUAGAUACUGAGCCAUGGGAAGCAGAAAAGAACUGUCAAAAGACCUGCGUAACAAAGUAAUGGAAAUUUAUAAAGAUGGAAAAGGAUAUAAAAAUAUAUUCAAAGCCUUGAAAAUGCCAGUCAGUACUGUUCAAUCACUUAUUAAGAAGUGGACAAUUCGGGGAUCUCUUGUUACCAAGCCAAGGUCAGGUAGACCACAAAAGAUUUCAGCCACAACUGCCAGAAGAAUUGGUCAGGAUACAAAGAAAAACCCACAGGUAACCUCAGGAGAAAUACAGGCUGCUCUGGUAAAAGACGGUGUGGUUGUUUCAAGGAGCACAAUACGACGAUACUUGAACAAAAAUGAGCUGCAUGGUCGAGUUUCCAGAAAGAAGCCUUUACUGCACUAAUGCCACAAAAAAGCCUGGUUAUAAUAUGUCUGACAACACCUUGACAC